AAGGCUUUUGUUCUGUGAAUGCCAUCUUGGGUGUAAACUGCUCUGUGCCUAUACUGGUGUCUUUUUACCCCAUCUCCAGCUGGGAUUUCAAGAGGCACUGGCACAGGGCUCACAAUGCAGAACAAUCAAGUGUCAAGCUGGAGGGUCUCCCAUUCAGAUAGAAGCACCCUGGGACAACAACCUAGCUGCUGCCCAGGGAACCUGUUCAACCAGGUGGGAUAGUAAUCAAGCAAUGCAUCACGUAAUGAGGGAUUUGAAGCACUGAGGAUAGUCACCUGACAGGGGGCGGGGGAACCUCAUAAAAGGAAGGCUUUCUUAUUGGUGGUAUGAGAGAGAGGAGACCAGAAGCAGAAGGCAAGACUGAACAGGAGGAGCGAGCGUGAGCGUUUGUCCUGGGACCCUGAAAGGGUGGACUGAAACCAAGUAGUGGUGAGGAUGUUGGAUGUGACAUUCUUCCUGUGCUGUGUGAUCUAGAGAAGGGAUGUCAAACCUACAGCAUCAGAGGUGGCUGUAGCCCACAGGAUCGUUUUGUCCAGCUGGCUAUUCUCUGCAGUGAACAAGGCAACCCUGCCUGCAGUGACUUGGGAACUGGGUGAGUGGAGCUAAAGAUGGAGUUUGUUCCUGACUGGACAUAAUCACCUGGCCCUUUAAACCGCCUGCUGCCUGCUGGAGGAUGUUAUUACGCAUGGGGGCAUGCUGCCCCCAUAACCUGCCACAGCCAGGUUUGAGGGGUUAUUUCAUGGCAUACACACAGACACGCUGGAUUAAAAACAUCAAAUCCU